AGUAACCUGUGACUUGAAAAACACCUAAUUCCCAUGUUACAUUUCUUGCAAUCUUACCUGAUAGAAAGUUAGAGGUUGAGACUUUGUUACCUGUGACAUUUCUCCCCCAAACACGAACUGUAAGAAAGUCACCUGUAAAUUUCUUACAUUUUACACAAGUUACAGGCAUCCAAACGGCCCCUAAGUGACUUCCCGUAAGUCAUUUCCCACUAACCCAACUUACAGGCAUCCACAGCCCCACAUCGAUUCUCAGGCGUAGUAUCAGCAUUUCGGGUAUCCAAGAGCUUCGGAAGAACCGGCAAUGAUGUCCCAAGCAGCAGAAUCGGAAGCAGUGGCAGCAACCCUUUUGGUGCGGCAUCUCCCAGAAGCGAUUCCUCACGAUACUCUCUCUCGACUCUUCUCUCACUAUGGAGCUUCCUACGUCCGCCCUUGCGCUGGUGGAAGGUUGAGAAAUUGUGCCUUUGUGGAUUUCAAGGAUGAAGCUUUGGCUUCUCAAGCACAAUCACAACUAAAUAGGUUGAGAUUUCUUGGGAAAGUGCUAUCAGUUGAGAGAGCAGGUAGGGCCGGAUCAAAUAAUAAGAAUCAACAAGGCGACGGACAAUUUGGAAAGGACUCAAGUUUUCCACCAGCAUCAUUGCUAAAGGAUGGUCAGGUAGCUGGCUAUCUUGCUAAAGGAACCAAUGCAGGUUCAGUACCCACUUGUGAACCCAUAGCAGCAAAGCUUGGCGUGGACUACCCAUUUCCUCUUCAUCUUGAGUAUGCAUAUCCACCUCCAGAUGGGAAUAUUCUGACUAAUAUUGUGAAUGCCCUCAUAGCCGUUCCUCGCUUUUAUACACAGGUUUUGCAUUUGAUGAACAAAAUGAAUAUUCCGGCUCCAUUCCGCAUGGCACUGCCCACUCCACCUUUACCGCCUUCAGAGCCUGCUCUGCCUCCACCACCACCUCCUCUCCCGACGAUACCUGCACAGCCCCAUUUGGCAGAUCUAUCAAGUGAUGAGUCAGAAAUGGAGUCUUCUGAAGAAGAUGAUGCUGAUGAGAAAAACUACCAUAGUAGAAAGCGCACUAAAAGAGAAGCCAUUGUGGGCCCUGCAGUUGAUAAGGCUGUGGCACAUGAAGCCGUUGGACUAAAGCCUGCCACCUUGGUUCCUAAAGAGAUUCCAGUGAUAAAAAAGAAAAACUCUGUCCUACAGAUCAGAAUUGCUCCAAAGCCAAUCCAAAAUGAAGUGACAGAUGAUGACAGUAGCAUGAAAGAACAAACUGAGCCAGCAAAUGAGGGAUUGGAACUGAAACCUUUUGUGACACCAGAAGAGAUAGAGAAUGGGAAGUUGCCUCCAGAGGAAAUUUUAUCACUUCCGAUGUUUAAGAAUUAUACUGCUGGAAAUCCUUCUACUGUUCUGUACAUCAAGAACUUGGCAAAAGAUGUUGUUGCUGAUGACUUCUACUUCAUGUUUGGCUCGCUUUUUGGUAGUGUUGAGACAGCUAAAUCGGGUCUGAGCAUAAAGUUGAUGCAGGAGGGACGAAUGAGGGGUCAAGCUUUUGUGACAUUUCCAUCAGUAGAACUCGCCCUUCAUGCUUUGAAUCUAGUGAAUGGGUAUGUUUUCAAAGGUAAACCAGUGAUCAUCCAGUUUGGUCGUAAUCCUGCGGCUGGCAAAACAAGCUGAAGGGACCCACCGUGAGAGGGGAGAAUUCUUUAAGUGGUGGACUUCUUUGCAAUUUUGGAUGUAGAUACGCGUGUAUAUAAUCACACUGUUUGAUGACUGAAGCUAUGCCAGAGCUGUUGUAAAGAAGCCUACUUCAUCACUUCAUCAGGUCUGGUGUCAUGAAUUUUGUUUAGGUGGAGCAGGACUGAAGCUUGAAGAAACUUUUCAAAGACUUAUCAGCUACCCCAUUGGAGAUCUCCCUCAAAAAAAAUCAGCAUUGUGACAUCCAGCUGAAUGGCAUGCAUAUUUCGAUAGAUGACCAAUGUUGUGAGAAUAGCAAUCAAAUUCUUAUUGGAAUGUGGUCAAGAUCUUGGAUUUUCAUCAUGUAAUGAGCCAGAUCUUGCAAACAAUGCCCCAUUACCAAUUGUGGAGAUAGGAGGAUUCAGAUCGCACCUUGUUAGAUACAGCCAAAGUUACAAAUGUAGUUAUUGUUACUCAGUUUGAUUCUCAAGUUGCUUGAACAGGUCGAACACGGCACUGCAUUCAUUCUUA